rnacentral:rRNA from 1 species
UCUGACGGUGAGAAGACUACAGGAUUCCCCUAGUAACUGCGAGUGAAGCGGGAAAAGCUCAAAUUUAAAAUCUGGCGGUCUUUGGCCGUCCGAGUUGUAGUCUGGAGAAGUGCUUUCCGCGCUGGACCGUGUAUAAGUCUCUUGGAACAGAGCGUCAUAGAGGGUGAGAAUCCCGUCUUUGACACGGACUACCAGUGCUUUGUGAUGCGCUCUCAAAGAGUCGAGUUGUUUGGGAAUGCAGCUCAAAAUGGGUGGUGAAUUCCAUCUAAAGCUAAAUAUUGGCGAGAGACCGAUAGCGAACAAGUACCGUGAGGGAAAGAUGAAAAGCACUUUGGAAAGAGAGUUAAACAGUACGUGAAAUUGCUGAAAGGGAAACGCUUGAAGUCAGUCGCGUCGUCCGGAACUCAGCCUUGCUUUCGCUUGGUGCACUUUCCGGAUGACGGGUCAGCAUCGAUUUUGACCGUCGGAAAAGGGCUGGAGUAAUGUGGCACCUCCGGGUGUGUUAUAGACUCUGGUCGCAUACGGCGGUUGGGAUCGAGGAACGCAGCGCGCCGCAAGGCAGGGGUUCGCCCACUUUCGCGCUUAGGAUGCUGGCAUAAUGGCUUUAAACGACCCGUCUUGAAACACGGACCAAGGAGUCUAACAUACCUGCGAGUGUUUGGGUGGAAAACCCGAGCGCGUAAUGAAAGUGAAAGUUGAGAUCCCUGUCGUGGGGAGCACCGACGCCCGGACCUGACGUUCUCUGACGGAUCCGCGGUAGAGCAUGUAUGUUGGGACCCGAAAGAUGGUGAACUAUGCCUGAAUAGGGUGAAGCCAGAGGAAACUCUGGUGGAGGCUCGUAGCGAUUCUGACGUUGCAAAUCGAUCGUCAAAUUUGGGUAUAGGGGCGAAAGACUAAUCGAACCAUCUAGUAGCUGGUUUCUGCCGAAGUUUCCUGUCAGGAUAGCAGAACUCAUUAUCAGAUUUAUGUGGUAAAGCGAAUGAUUAGAGGCCUGGGGGUUGAACGACUUACUAUUCUCAACUUUAAUAUGUUAGAACAAGCCGUUCCUUGAAUGGAUCCCCUCGGGAUUUGG